UACGGAGGGUGCGAGCGUUAAUCGGAAUUACUGGGCGUAAAGCGCACGCAGGUGGUUGGGUAAGUCGGAUGUGAAAGCCCUGGGCUUAACCUGGGAACUGCAUUCGAUACUGCCCGGCUAGAGUAUGGGAGAGGGAAGCGGAAUUUCCGGUGUAGCGGUGAAAUGUGUAGAUAUCGGAAGGAACACCAAUGGCGAAGGCAGCUUCCUGGCCCAAUACUGACGCUCAGGUGCGAAAGCGUGGGGAUCAAACAGG
rnacentral:rRNA from 1 species